CAGGCAAAGGCAAGAGGUGGUUGAUUGCUAUGUUCUUUACUAAAUGAAUAAAAAUAAUGAUGACAUGAAUAAUUCAUGAUCGCAACAUUAUACACUAUACUCCAAUCUUCUGUCUCAACCCUCGUAGCACUCUGAGAUAAGGGACGGCUGGUAAGGGGAAUUUUCACCACACUAGCCAAUCGGAGAUGGUCAUACUGAGGCUUUAGCAUUUUACAUUCAGUUUUUUAUCUUUGGAGGAAGAUGAUCCAGCACUAAAAAUAUUUACUUUAAAUGUCCCUACAAGGCCAGGAAUAUCCAUCCAUUCUCUGUACCAGUUAUCCUACACAGGGUCGCGGGGAGCCUGGAGCCUGUCGCAGGGGACUCGGGGCACAAGGCAUGGGACACCCUGGACGGGGUGCCAGCCAUCCACAGGGCACAAUCACCCACACACUCACACACCCAUUCACACACUGUGGACAAUCUGGAAAUGCCAACCUGCCAACAACACAUGUCUUUGGACUGGGGGAGGACACUGGAGUACCCUGAGGAAACCUGAAGCACAGGGAGAACAUACAAACUCCACCCAGGAAUAUCUUCAAAAAAUAAAU